CUACAGUUCAGGAGGCUCCAACCCAUGGGUCAGAUGCCUUGAGAGUUUGCAGAGUUACAAAAUCAGGCACCUGAAACAUGCAUCUGUUUAUCUUUUCUUAAUGCAAUCAUUAGCAUGUGGAGAUGUAUGACAUUUUUAGAGUGUUCCAGAAGAAAGCACACCUCGUGCAGCAACCAAACUGUACUAGGUAUCAUCCUCUGAACCAGCCUGGCCUUCCCCACCCUUGCGGCUCAUGGGAGAGAUGCCCUCUACAUCCAGCACCUGUGCUCUGUCCCCAUUGCUGAAGGAAAGGCAUUCAUUCUACUUCAAACACACUUUACUUUUAAUUGGAUACGAUUCUGUUAUGCCAGUUAUGCAAGGAAACUAAUGUGAAAAACCAAAAACUUUGGGGUCUAAAUGACCUCAUUCUGUAGUUGAGCUCUGCUGCUUAUUAAAGGUGUAGCACUGGAAACAUUCCAGCAACUCUCUGUGCAUCUAUGUCCAUGUCUGCAGAAUGAAGAUUACAGUACUGUACAAUGACUGGACUUUUUGUUUAGGUUGCUCACAUAAAUGGUCCAAUGCAGCACCAGGCACUUAAUGACUACUACACUGAUGCUGGUCAUCAUCCCUUCUGGGGAGACCUCUGCUACUAAAUGACAGUUAAGGACAGGUACAGAAGUAUACUCACAUGGGGUCCUUGCAGUCUUGUACGGUCCUUUGUAUCAAACAGAGGCUCAGGCAUAUUGGCUAUACCAGAGCUUUACUAUAAGGACACAGAUGGGGAUACUCCUGGGAAGAGCCCAUGUCAAUAGGGUUAAAGUUCUGUUGGGUAUGAAGACCAAUCUCUUUAAGGCUUGUGCAAGUUACUAAAAGGUGGGAUGAUUUCAGAAAGAGAAUAGCAGCCUCCAUGUGCAGCUUGUGUGAUUUAGGACCUUCUUGUGACCUCUCCCAAGGGUCACUCACAAGAUGAAUUAGGAAAAGAGAGACCAAAGAUGGGGCCAGCUGCUCCCAGAUCCUUAGAUAUUCUAAACAAAUGGGAGAUACUCCAUCUUCACUGAUUAAUUUUUCAUGAUUUAUUCGUGGGACAUCAUUUAAAAGGAGCAUUUUAAAGUAAAUUAAUUGAACUCCCAUGACCUUUUGCCCUACUAAUAUCAUCAAAAGAAACUAGAUCUUGAAUUUUUAAAAAUUGCUGGGUUUUUUGGUGAUUUACAAACUACAAAGAAUGUCAGUUUAUUAUUAUUCUUUUUGAGAUUGUGAAUAAAAACCUUAGCUUUCUCAGCCAUAAGUUGAAGUAUC
rnacentral:lncRNA from 1 species